rnacentral:rRNA from 1 species
AAUGAACGCUGGCGGCGUGGUUAAGACAUGCAAGUCGAACGAGAACGGAAUAUAGCUUGCUAUAUUUGUCAGCUAAGUGGCGCACGGGUGAGUAAUGUAUAGAUAACCUGCCCUUAAGAAAGGAAUAACAGUUGGAAACGACUGCUAAUGCCCUAUAUGCCUUUAAUACAUAAGUAUGCAAGGGAAACGCUUUAGUGCUUAAGGAUGGGUCUGUAUGGUAUCAGCUUGUUGGGGAGGUAAUGGCUCACCAAGGCUAUGACGCCUAACUGGUUUGAGAGGAUGAUCAGUCACACUGGAACUGAGACACGGUCCAGACUCCUACGGGAGGCAGCAGUGGGGAAUAUUGCACAAUGGACGAAAGUCUGAUGCAGCAACGCCGCGUGGAGGAUGACACAUUUCGGUGCGUAAACUCCUUUUAUAUAGGAAGAUAAUGACGGUACUAUAUGAAUAAGCACCGGCUAACUCCGUGCCAGCAGCCGCCGUAAUAC